UACAGAGGGUGCGAGCGUUGUUCGGAAUUAUUGGGCGUAAAGAGCUCGUAGGCGGCUUGUUGCGUCGGCUGUGAAAACCCAUGGCUUAACCGUGGGCUUGCAGCCGAUACGGGCAGGCUAGAGUUCGGUAGGGGAGACUGGAAUUCCCAGUGUAGAGGUGAAAUUCGUAGAUAUUGGGAAGAACACCAGUGGCGAAGGCGGCUAUCUGGACCGGUACUGACGCUGAGGCGCGAAAGCGUGGGGAGCAAACAGG
rnacentral:rRNA from 1 species